rnacentral:rRNA from 1 species
AUUGAACACUGGCGGCAGGCUUAACACAUGCAAGUCGAGCGGGGUGAUGGUGCUUGCACUAUCACUUAGCGGCGGACGGGUGAGUAAUGCUUAGGAAUCUGCCUAUUAGUGGGGGACAACAUCUCGAACGGGAUGCUAAUACCGCAUACGUCCUACGGGAGAAAGCAGGGGAUCACUUGUGACCUUGCGCUAAUAGAUGAGCCUAAGUCGGAUUAGCUAGUUGGUGGGGUAAAGGCCUACCAAGGCGACGAUCGGUAGCGGGUCUGAGAGGAUGAUCCGCCACACUGGGACUGAGACACGGCCCAGACUCCUACGGGAGGCAGCAGUGGGGAAUAUUGGACAAUGGGGGGAACCCUGAUCCAGCCAUGCCGCGUGUGUGAAGAAGGCCUUAUGGUUGUAAAGCACUUUAAGCGAGGAGGAGGCUCUUUUGGUUAAUACCCAAGAUGAGUGGACGUUACUCGCAGAAUAAGCACCGGCUAACUCUGUGCCAGCCGCCGCCGUAA